rnacentral:misc_RNA from 1 species
GAUGAAGAACGUAGCGAAAUGCGAUAAGUAAUGUGAAUUGCAGAAUUCAGUGAAUCAUCGAAUCUUUGAACGCAUCUUGCGCUCCUUGGUAUUCCGAGGAGCAUGCCUGUUUGAGUGUCAUUAAAGUUCUCAACCACAUUACUACAUAUGUGGCUUGGAUGUGGGGGUUUGCAGGCUUUCUCUGAGGGUCAGCUCCUCUGAAAUGCAUUAGUGGUAUUCCUGAGCUUUACUACAGAUGUGAUAAUUUAUCUACAUCCCAAAAGUAUGCUUCAGCAACACCGCUCCUAACAAGCGAAAGCACAUUUUGAUGAAUUUGACCUCAAAUCAGGUAGGACUACCCGCUGAACUUAAGCAUAUCAAUAAGCGGAGGA